AACAAUUAUCGGCGUGGACUGCCUUGGGUUCGACUUGAGAUUGUGCUAAGGAACACAAGUGCAGACACUGAGAUUUGCUUUCCCUACAAAGGCUAGUUCGGAGUUCAGCGCAGAGAAGCAGAUACACGAGCUUCUGUUUCCUAGGAGGA